UAUUGUAAUUUCUAACUUGCACUUUUAGUAUUAUUCCAAUCAAAUCCUACAAUCCAAUUCAAUUUGCUAAAUUUGAGAAAUUAUUAAUAUAGAAAUAAUAUAACAUUUUAAUUAUUGCUGUAUUAUCAAUUGUAAUGUUGUUUUCGUCACUUUUUGCAUCAAUAAUUUAUCAAUAUUUAUCUAACUAAAUUAAAUCGUGAGACUUGAUUAUAAUAAUUAUAAAAAUUCAAACUACAAAUUUUUAUAAAUUAAAAUUUGGCCAAUU
rnacentral:lncRNA from 1 species